AAACCAUGGUGAGGGCACAAUCUGAGCAAUCCCUGGUAUCUAUGCCAUACAUCAUAUAAGCUCUCACCGUCAAAUUGUGUAAACCUUGUGAUUUGAUCACGGAUUUC
rfam:Oryza meridionalis cultivar OR44 (W2112) chromosome 1, whole genome shotgun sequence.